rnacentral:tRNA from 1 species
AGUCUUAUAGUCAAUAAUGAUAUGAAAUUGCAAAUUUUAAGGUGUAAAUUAUACUAAG